AUAACCACUGCCACUCUAUUGCUUUGCUAACAUCUUUGCUGCUCUCUCACCUUGCAAUCUAUUGCAUACAAUUUCCCCAAUUUGGAAGUCUUUACCCACACACUCAUUCUCUCCAACACUUUUAUCAUUCAUUUAAUUUCAAACCACUUAUUGUCCCUUACUUUUUGGGAACACAAUUUGGCGAUGAAUUUACCUGGAUAUAUUUUUUGCAUAUCUAAUUCUAGCUUGGUGACUGUAUUAGCCUGUUCUCACACUGCUAUAAAUAAAUACCUGAGGCUGGGCAAUUUAUAAGGAAAAGAGAUUUAAUUGGCUCAUGGUUCCUCAUGCUGUAUGGGAAGCAUGAUUCUGGCAUCUGCUUGGCUUCUAGGAAGGCCUCAGGAAACCUUUAUUCAUGAUGUGGAGCAGGCAUCUUCACAUGGCCAGAGCAGGAGGGGGCGGAGGGGCAGUGCCACACACUUUAAAACAACCAGAUCUCAUGAGAAUUCUGUCAUGAGAACAGCACCAAAGAGAUGGUGCUAAACCAUUAGAAACCACCCCCCAUGAUCCAAUCACCUCCCAUCAGGCCCCACCUCCAACACUGGGGAUUACAACUGAAUACAAGAUUUGGAUGAUGACACAAGUUCAAACCACAUCAGUGUCUGCUUCUCAGAGGACCCCAACUAUGGCACAAUCCAUUCUGAGGUUCCAUCAUGUUGAGCUUUGACAUCUGUCUCUCACCCAAGCAUCCCAGCCCUAAGCAAUAAUAUUACAAAGAGGGAAAGAGCCGUCUCUCAGUGCCACCAUUCCCUUGGUAUUGAAUGCCAGGCCCAAAUCAACCCUUCCUUCUAAAUGAGAUUCAAUUUGGAAAGGAUUUUAUCAUGUGAUAAAUGAAAAAGAAAAUUAACACUGGGAAACGUACCAUCCCAAUAAAAAGAUAGAAAAUGUAUAUUCAGAAUCGGACAGUGUUGUAUAAAAUUGUAUCUUAAAGAGCCUGAUAGAGGGUACUACUGCUUUUUCAAUCAGCAAGCAGUUACUAUUUUUCUAUUCUUGAUGUAUUGUAUUCCUAGGGCUGCAAAACAAAGUACCACAAACUGAAUAGCUUUAAACAACAGACAUUUAUUCUCUCACAGUUCUGGAGGCUAAAAGUCUGAAAUCAAGUUGUCAGCAGGGCCAUGCUCUCUCUCUGAAGGCUCUAGGGGAGAACUUGCUCCAUGCCUUUCUCUUGGCCUCUGGUGUUCUUGCCAAGCCUUGGUGUUCCUUGGCUUAUUAACACGUUCGUUCAAUUCCUGCCUCUGUGGUUACAUGGUGUUCUCCUGGAGUGUCUCUCUCUCUCUCUCUUUCUUCUUAUAAGGACACCAGUCAUAAUGGAUUAGGGCCCACCCUAAUGACAUUGUAGUAACUCGAU
rnacentral:lncRNA from 1 species